rnacentral:rRNA from 1 species
CCUACGGGAGGCAGCAGUGGGGAAUAUUGCACAAUGGGGGAAACCCUGAUGCAGCGACGCCACGUGAGUGAAGAAGUAUUUCGGUUUGUAAAGUUCUAUCAGCAGGGAAGAAAAAAGACGGUACCAGACUAAGAAGCCCCGGCUAACUACGCGCCAGCAGCCGCGGUAAUACGUAGGGGGCCAGCGUUAUCCGGAUUUACUGGGCGUAAAGGGAGCGUAGACGGCGCGGCAAGUCUGAAGUGAAAGGCAGGGGUUUAACCCCUGAACUGCAUUGGAAACUGCCAUGCUAGAGUGCCGGAGAGGUAAGUAGAAUUCCUGGUGUAGCGGUGAAAUGCGUAGAUAUUAGGAGGAACACCAGUGGCGAAGGCGGCUUACUGGACAGUAACUGACGUUGAGGCUCGAAAGCGUGGGGAGCAAACAGGAUUAGAUACCCUAGUAGUC